rnacentral:rRNA from 1 species
GACGAACGCCGGCGGCGUGCUUAACACAUGCAAGUCGAACGGAAAGGCCCUGCUUUUGUGGGGUGCUCGAGUGGCGAACGGGUGAGUAACACGUGAGUAACCUGCCCUUGACUUUGGGAUAACUUCAGGAAACUGGGGCUAAUACCGGAUAGGAGCUCCUGCUGCAUGGUGGGGGUUGGAAAGUUUCGGCGGUUGGGGAUGGACUCGCGGCUUAUCAGCUUGUUGGUGGGGUAGUGGCUUACCAAGGCUUUGACGGGUAGCCGGCCUGAGAGGGUGACCGGCCACAUUGGGACUGAGAUACGGCCCAGACUCCUACGGGAGGCAGCAGUGGGGAAUAUUGCACAGUGGGCGGAAGCCUGAUGCAGCAACGCCGCGUGCGGGAUGACGGCCUUCGGGUUGUAAACCGCUUUCGCCUGUGACGAAGCGUGAGUGACGGUAAUGGGUAAAGAAGCACCGGCUAACUACGUG